CUCUGCUAUGGGAAACCUAGGGUGAAGAAACUUCUUUAACAUUUUGGCACUCCAGAUGGGACCCUAGGCCACCACCUUCGGAUCCUCUCAUCUCCAAACAUCCAACUGCCAGCAUCGGUGUCCUUGUUUCCCCCACACACUCUGAAUGAGCAGUUUCCUGUGGGACAUGUGGACACUCAUUCAAAACCCAAGAUAUUCUGAUGAAGAGGAAUCUCACAGGCACCUGUACACCCACUUCUGAGCAGUGGACUGGAGGCAUUUCAAGCAGCCUUUUUCCUCUUCUGAGAGAGUCCAAAAUUGGAUCAUUAAAACGUGGCAACCAAAGCUACAGAUGCUGGUGAGAAACAGCACAGAGCAAGAUCAGCAGUGAGGAUGAAAUGCUCCUCAGAUUCACCUUGUAGAAUGGCCAUCGAUGGAUCCAUGCUUCUGCCCACAACCUACUACUGACGAUCAAUUGGAGCAAAAUGUCAGAAGAGUUGAAGGGUGUAUCAACUGCCUAAUGUUACAAACUGAUUUACAAGAUGGCAGUUGACUAUAAAACCUAGUUAGAGGGAAAACUUUUCAUACAACAGGAUUUUUUGUGCAUCUAACCUUAAUUAAGAGUACCUGAUGUAGACAUGAACAUCCCACCAAAUUGUAGCACUAAAUUUUGGGAAGUGUUUGGAAUUUACACACACAUAUCCCCCCCCCCAGAUGAGUUAACUUCUAAAGGUCCUGUAAGAGGCAUCUCACAAACUAACAUCAUGGUACCUUCUCUAUCCCUCUUUUCUAAUCAGGAGGAUCUGCUAUGAGCUGCCAUAUGCCCUUUAACUGGCUUGCAUUCACACCAUCAUAGCAAGUGUACAUUCUUUAAUUUAGUUUCUCCUGCCAUUCCUUUCCUUUCUUUUGGUAUCUUGUCCUUAGUUCAAUGCUCCCUGCCCAGGCCUUCUGGCUGAGAUUGCUUAUUUACUCUCAUAUGUCUGUCUUUAUUUUCCCUGGAGAUCCUCUGGUCUGCACAUCCUCCUCUGUUAAGUUCCCCCCCCCCCAUUUUUGAAGCUAAUAGUAAACCUACAUAUUACUGGCCAUAUCAAACCUCUAAAACUACCUAUUUAAAGAAGUCUUUGCAUUUUCAAGCUAAUCCUCUGCAUAUCCGCUCUUACUUCCAGGGCUCUGGUCUUGUGCACAUCUUGCCUAUGUCUGGGCCUUUUUCUAUGCUCAGAAAGCCCUCAGGGGAAGUCUGCAAGACUUGCCCAUGCCACCUCAAUACUCAAGACUGUUGUGCAGAAAGACCACUCUUGUAAUCCAUCCUGCUACUACCAAACUUGAUCAGAGUUUACCUGUCCUAUUCUCAUAAUACUACCUAAGUAUUAUGAGACUAAGGUAAGGUCACUUCAUAUUUCAUAUCCUCCACCUGCCCUCCAGACGAAUAGCUUUUGGCUUGUGAGCUUUGGGAUAACACCAUAUUUUAUCUUCUACUUAAAGCGCCACAUACCUCAGAGAUGCUAUGGGAAAUAGUUCACACAAUCUUACCUGUAAUAGUGUUCCUGUCCAAGACAUCAGAAUUUAAAUAAUAAAUUCCAAGUUACUUUUGGAUAGUAGUGAUAAGACAGGAAAGGUAGUAGUUUAGUUUCAGUGAUAGGCUUGUCCUUGUAUCACAGGCUUUUGCAAGUUAAUAAAUUUUGAAUUUAGGUAUACAUCCAAGAUAGAAUGAAGAAGUACCUGACUAUAUCACAGAAACACUGGGGGUCUGGCAAGAAAUGAAAGGCCUACCCUCUGGAAGAGUGUUCAGACUUCCUUAGCUUCCUCCUGCAAAUCCUAUUCUAAGUCAUACUGAGUUCAGUAGGAAUGGUGGCAGAACCAAGGGCUGCUUGUUUAAGUAGGAUGUGCAGCACCAUCCACUGACUUUUUUGUUAAGAUCACCACAGAAGACAGUUUUAGAUGGAUGUGCUGGGUCUGGCUGGGAUGGAGUUAAUGUUCCUCAUAGUAGCCCGUAUAGUGCUGUGCUUUGCAUUUGUGGCUAGAACCAUGUUGAUAACAUACCAAUGUUUUGGCUACUGCUGAACAGUGCUUGCACAGCAUCAAGGCUUUCUCUCCAAAUCCCCCACCUGGCUCAAAGGCCAGUAGGCUGGGAGUGGGCAAGAGGCUGAGAGUGGACAUAGCCAGGACAGCUGACCUAAACUGACCAAAGGGAUAUUCCAUACCAUAUGAUGUCAUGCUCAGCAAUAAAAUCUCAGGGAAAGGAGGAGGAAGCAGGGACAUUCAUGGCUAUGGCAUUUGUCUUCCCAAGCAACCAUUACACGUGCUGAGGCCCUCCUUUCCAGGAAAUGGCUAAACACCUGCCUGCUGAUGGGAAGUAGUGAAUGAAUUCCUUAUUUUGCUUUGCUUGAGCACACAGCUUUUGCUUUCCCUAUUAAACUGCCCGUGGCAAGGUUGGAACUAGAUGAUCUUUAAGGUCCCUUCCAACCCAAACCAUUCUAUGAUUCUAUGAUUAUCUCGAUCCACAGGUUGUCUUGCCUUCCUUCUAUUUUCUCCCCAUCCUGCAGGAGAGGGGAAUGAGAGGGACAGGAUAGCUGUUUGGCUGGGGUCAACCCACCAGAGUCUUCUGGAAAUUUAGCUAGACUCAAAGGCUCAAGCAAACAGUUAUUAUACAGAUAGCUUUGGUCUCUGAAAUACAUAGUGCCUUUGAACCAACAGGUUUAGAGAAUUACUAGUAAGAUACAGACGUUUAACCUCUGAACAUCAAGUCUUUGGUCUUCUAACUUUAUUUGCUCUUUCAUGUCUCAUUUCUGUUAGCUGACCAAAUAUGGUCCAGUGAAUUUUUAGAUUCUCAACAUUACACAGCACAAAUCAGUAUUCAGAGCUUUCCACCUUGCUUAGUUAGCAUCCAUGAGUAAAAAGUCAUGUUGGUACAAGCAAGAUCAUAGGUGUGAACCAAAGUCCUAAAGUCAUUGUCCAAGAUUGAGAGACUGAGGUUAAAUAUUAAAAUUUUAAGACCAGGAAGUUUUUAAUUGAUAGCUGUGUACCUACUUCAGCUAAAGGAUACAAAGCAGCAAGAAACCAAAUCGAUGGCCUGAUUAAGAAGUGGAAAGUAGAUGGAAGGGAUUCAAAAAAUCUGAGAUGAGAUAAAUGAUUUUUUUUUUUUUUAAAUGGUACUGAGGAGGGAACAUUAACACUCUGCAAUAUGUAGUUAUGAAUAACUCCGGAGGCUCAAUCAAAUCCCACUGUUGCUAUGGAAUUGUUCUGCCAUUUAUAAAAAGUAAUUAGCAUUAGCAGCUGUAUUGGCUUUGUGUGGCAAGGUUUUGGUAGCGGGGGGGGUUACAGGGGUGGCUUCUGUAAGAAGCUGCUGGAAGCUUCCCCUGUGUUCAAGAGCGCCAAUACCAGCCGGCUCUAAGACGGACCUGCCGCCGGCCAAGGCCGAGCCAAUCAGCGAUAGUGGUAACGCCUCUGUGAUAACAUUUUUAAGAAGGGAAAAAAAGUUGGGACAGACGAAAACGGCAGCCGGAGAGAGGAGUGAGAAUAUGUAAGAGAAACAACCCUGCAGACACCAAGGAAAGUGAAGAAGGAGGGGGAGGAGAUGCUCCAGGUGCCGGAGCAGAGAUUCCCCUGCAGCCUGUGGUGAAGACCAUGGUGAGGCAGGCUGUCCCCCUGCAGUCCAUGGAGGUCCACGGUGGAGCAGAUAUCCACCUGCAGCCCGUGGAGGACCCCACGCCGGAGCAGGUGGGCUCCUAAAGGAGGCUGUGACCCCGUG